rnacentral:rRNA from 1 species
UACGUAGGGUGCGAGCGUUGUCCGGAAUUACUGGGCGUAAAGAGCUCGUAGGUGGUUUGUCGCGUUGUUCGUGAAAACUCACAGCUUAACUGUGGGCGUGCGGGCGAUACGGGCAGACUAGAGUGCAGUAGGGGAGACUGGAAUUCCUGGUGUAGCGGUGAAAUGCGUAGAUAUCUGGAGGAACACCGGUGGCGAAGGCGGCGUCCUGGACCAACACUGACACUGAGGAGCGAAAGCCAGGGGAGCAAACGGG